CAAAAAGUAAAUGUGCAUCGUGUAGCUGGUGCAGUACAAACCUUAUAUUUGAUAAAAAUAUAAUUCCAUAGAUGAGCAUUUCAUCUUGUGCAACUUUCUUUUUUUUCCAGUCUAAUUUCCCUUUCUUUUUCACCUCUGACCUGCAGAUCCUGCAGUGGGAACAGAACCUGGAGAAGUUUAACCUAGAGCUCUUCCGCAUGCGCUGUUACCUGGCUAGCCUGCAAGGCACUGAGCUGCCCAAUCCAAAAAGCCUGCUAGCCACUGCUGGACGGCCCUCUAAAAUGGCGCUAGGUCGCCUGGGAAUUUUCUCUGUGUCGUCCUUUCAUGCGCUGAUAUGUAACCGUGACGAAGCCACACUGAAGAGACGAUCCCGCUCUCAUCCUCGAGGUGUGCGGAACAAACGAGGACUGCUCUUUUCUUCUCAGAAGGGAUUGGACAGUCUGACCAAACGCAACCGUGAAAAGAGACAGUCCAUGUCCCAGAUAUUUGAAGGAUAUUCCUCUGGAUCGUUUGGUCAUCCAUCCACGCAAAGCAGCUCGGAGGUGAUUAUACCAAUUCACAUCACAACGUAAAACUUAAUAUGUAUAAUUAUUCUAAGUGUUUAAAUAUACUUUAAGAGUGCUUUCACACCUGCCUUAUUCAGUUCGGUUGAAUCGCAGGCUCCAUUUACACUAGUGCGUUUUAGUUUUAAAACAGCGUUUUAGAUAAAAAACGAUCCGCGUCCACACUUGCGUUUCACCAAGCGUUUCUGAACAUAUCUCCGUCCACACUACGCCACCAAAAACGUAUAUCACGUGAUCAUUCGCACACUCUGGGCAUGCGCGUUCUAGUAUAAACAGGCAGCAUGUGUCUGGCUCUGUGUUCAGUUAUUGUUAGUCAACAAAUGCCGGUUGAACAAUGAACGCGAUGGCAAAAAAAGCAAGAGAGGUAUUUUUGUGGACAGAUGACGAAGUCAAGUUGUUACUAAACGUAACAAAUAAAUAACUGCACAAUGGCGCCUAAAACAGACAAUAGUGCAAACAGCGCUCCCAUUUCUGUGUCCGUGUUGUUGUUUACAGUGAAGGCUGGUCUGCUGUCUUCCCUUAGCGUUAAAGCCAUGUGUUAUAGUCAUGUGAUAGAGGCUUGACGAAUAAGGGAAGGAUACGCAAUGACACAAAAGCCCCAAUCAGGUAGCAAAUUUCAGCAGCCCCGCCUCCGUUUUCAGAUGUCUCCGUUUUCCCCCAUCCACACUGAGACGGAGCAGCAGCGUUUUACAAUGAAAACUGGCUCUUCAGCGUUUCCAAAACGCUCCGUUUUCCGCGCUCGAAAACUCCGGCGUAGUGGGGACGGAUGACGUAACUGUAGCAAAACUUAUGCAUUUUCAAACUAAAACGCACUAGUGUAAACGGGGACGCAGUAGAGUAUUUUUUCGCUUUUGGAGCGGUUCGUUUGGGCAGGUGUGAAUGUAGCAAUCGUACUCUAGUGCGCACCAAAAAACUAAUCCAGCUUCCGUAGGCUGAUGCGCUGUGCAUUAUGGGAUGUGUAGGAAACGUUACCUGAUGUAUCGUUAGUAAUAUUUUCGGAAGAUGACCAUGUCGCAGUUUAGCGAAUUGAUUUCACGACUCGACCUCAAAAGACCUUCAUCAUUUGCAAUGCAUUAAACCAUUGUUUCUAGCUGCAGCCGUGCAUCAUUCUCAAAAUAUAUAGUUGACUAAAGUGAUGUGUACAAACUAUUUAGUAUAUAUAGAUAAACAUCAUUUUGGAAAUAACUUAAAAAGGAAAAAAAAUUUAAAGAGGGACUAAUAAUUCUGAUUGCAACUGUAAUUGUUUAUAAUUGUUUUGCAAUGCAGUGGUAGUUUAACUUUUGUCCAGACUGCUUAAAAAAGCUUCUCAAAGUCAGUUUAGACAUCUUAAGUUGUUCUUCAGCUCUCGCGCCAUCAGAUGCCCAUAUUGAGGCUUCAUCUGAAGGACAAUAGAAGCGCACAGAAGGAUCCUCCUCCAUUUCAGCCGCGCUGAUGUGUUUGCUCUGCGUAUUGUCAACAGAUCAGCAGGUUGUUGUGACAGCUGUGAGUCGAGUCAGAGAAAGAGACCCCCAUUUCUCCCUCUCACAGAAGAAGAAGAGCGCUAAACAGACACUUACGUGUGUUUCAUUCGACCAGCAUCACAGCUUAGGAAUUUAGCACGUUUAGUUCACUAAAAGGCAGCGGUACAAUUAACACAAUGUAGCAG
ensembl:lincRNA